rnacentral:rRNA from 1 species
CUACGGGGUGCACCAGUGGGGAAUAUUGCACAAUGGGCGCAAGCCUGAUGCAGCCAUGCCGCGUGUAUGAAGAAGGCCUUCGGGUUGUAAAGUACUUUCAGCGGGGAGGAAGGGAGUAAAGUUAAUACCUUUGCUCAUUGACGUUACCCGCAGAAGAAGCACCGGCUAACUCCGUGCCAGCAGCCGCGGUAAUACGGAGGGUGCAAGCGGUAAUCGGAAUUACUGGGCGUAAAGCGCACGCAGGCGGUUUGUUAAGUCAGACGUGAAAUCCCCGGGCUCAACCUGGGAACUGCAUCCGAUACUGGCAAGCUUGAGUCUCGUAGAGGGGGGUAGAAUUCCAGGUGUAGCGGUGAAAUGCGUAGAGAUCUGGAGGAAUACCGGUGGCGAAGGCGGCCCCCUGGACGAAGACUGACGCUCAGGUGCGAAAGCGUGGGGAGCAAACAGGAUUAGAUACCCUGGUAGUC